UGGCCCAGAUCGUUUACCGUGAAAAAAUUAGAGUGUUCAAAGCAGGCAGAUCCAAUUUUCUGCCACCGAAUACAUUAGCAUGGGAUAAUGGAAUAGGACCCUGUCCUCCUAUUUUCAGUUGGUUUUGGCAGCGCGAGGACUAGGGUAAUGAUUAAUAGGGAUAGUUGGGGGCAUUAAUAUUUAAUUGUCAGAGGUGAAAUUCUUGGAUUUAUGAAAGAUUAACUUCUGCGAAAGCAUCUGCCAAGGAUGUUUUCAUUAAUCAAGAACGAAAGUUAGGGGAUCGAAGACGAUCAGAUACCGUCGUAGUCUUAACCAUAAACGAUGCCGACCAGCGAUUAGGAGACGUUGAAUACAAAACACCACCAUCGGUGCGGUCGUCCUUGGCGUCUCGGUCCUUCACGGGGCCGGGGCGCGGGGGCGGCUUAGCCCGGUGGCACCGGUGAAUGACUCCCCUAGCAGCUUGUGAG
rnacentral:rRNA from 1 species